ACCUAACUGGGAUAGUUCGGUCAGUAGAGUAUGAGACUCUUAAUCUCAGAGCCGUGGGUCUGAGCCCCACAUUGGGCA